rnacentral:lncRNA from 1 species
AAAAAAAUUCAAAAAAUAACUUGAUUUUUGAUUUUGGCGGAGUUCAGGUAGAUACAGUUACUAGUCAUAAACAUUUAGGCAUAUUUUUUAGCAGUGACUGUAAGUGGACCAAGCAUGUUGAUUCUUUAAUAGAAAAGGUAUCAAAACAAUUAAAUGUUCUUAGACGUUUGAAAUUCCGACUAAAAAGGGAAUAUUUAGAAAAAAUAUAUUUAACUUUUAUAAGGCCUGUUCUAGAAUAUUCUUCUGAAGUUUGGGAUAAUUGCGGACAGUUGAAUUCUGAAAGAUUAGAAAAAUUACAACUGGAAGCAGCACGUAUUGUCACUGGUCUAACAAGCUAUGCUAGCACUCAAUCACUUUAUUUAGAGACGGGAUGGGAAAAAUUAAAGAUUAGACGGGAAGUUAAGAAAUUAACUUUAUUUUACAAAAUUAUGAAAGAGGACGCCCCAGAAUACUUAUUAGAUUUAAUACCCCCUACAGUUGCAGAAACAAACAAUUACAAUCUACGAAGCAGUCAAAAUAUAUACCAAACCUCUAGCAGACUGUCUCUUUAUCAGGAAUCAUUUAUUCCAUCUAGUAUCAAACUGUGGAAUUCGCUCGAUUUAAGUAUUAGAAAUGAACUUUCUUUAAAUAUGUUUAAAUUAAAAAUUAAACAGAAAUAUUAUAAAAACAAAUCACCCCUACAUAUUUCAAUACCCCCCCCUACAUAUUUCAAUAUUGGCGAUAGAUAUUUAAAUGUUUUACACGCAAGAUUAAGAAACAAAUGCAGUGCCCUUAACAUGGAUCUGUAUCACGCAAAUAUUAAACCUAACGC